rnacentral:rRNA from 1 species
AACGAACGCUGGCGGCAUGCCUAACACAUGCAAGUCGAACGACACCUUCGGCUCCAGUGUCGCACGGGUGCGUAACGCGUGGGAACCUGCCCUUAGGCUCGGACUGACUCCCCGAAAGGGGUGCUAAUACCGGGUAUUGUCUUCCGACCAAAGAUUUGUCGCCUUUGGAUGGGCCCGCGUUGGAUUACCUAGUUGGUAGGGUAAAAGCCUACCAAGGCGACGAUCCAUAGCUGGUCUGAGAGGAUGAUCAGCCACACUGGGACUGAGACACGGCCCAGACUCCUACGGGAGGCAGCAGUGGGGAAUAUUGGACAAUGGGCGAAAGCCUGAUCCAGCAAUGCCGCGUGAGUGAUGAAGGCCUUAGGGUUGUCAAGCGCUUUUACCCGGGAUGAUAAUGACAGUACCGGGAGAAUAAGCUCCGGCUAACUCCGUG